ACUCAUUUGCAUUAAUAUCCUCCUUUUCCGGUCACCUGACCUGCCGGAUCUCUCACAGCCGCGGGACUUUCUCUUGUUGGCGGGUGUUUGUGGACAGUGCGGAAGGUUUUCGGUUCAUUUCAGAGACAUUUUUAUCUUUUGUUAUUUUUUUUAUUGUUGUAGAAAAUGUCUGCGUGGGUCACGGAGAGACGCCGCAGCGGCCAGAGCUCUGAGCAGGAAGACAGGAGCGGUGGUCCACCUGGGUGGGCCCACUGCAGGAAGAGGGGGGUCGAUGGAAGCCUGCGUACUCACAGAGAGGCAGAGAGGGCUGAUGGGAGAAGACACAGACACUCUGAUAACAGACCCACCAGUUUUACCACACCGGAGAGCUCCAGUCCCGUGUCCCGCUGUGGGCGACGCUCUGACUGGGGCAGCCAGGUGGAGGACGACGAGAUGAGGAGGGACGUCCAUAAAGACAUACAGCGUUACAGGAGGAGAUUACUGGGCAGCGACGUCUCUCAGAGAGAAAGGAAGGCCUCCUCCGGAUCUUCUGGGAGUUGUGACUCCAGAGAGGGAGACAACAUGGAGACUGACGAGGUGGUUCUGCUGAGACGCCAGAAACAGAUCAACUACGGCAAGAACACACUGGCCUACGACAGAUACAUCAAGGAAGUUCCCAAACACAUGCGCCAACCUGGUGUCCACCCAAAAACCCCAAAUAAGUUCAAAAAGUACAGCCGCCGCUCGUGGGAUCAGCAAAUCAAACUGUGGAAGGUCAAACUUCACGCCUGGGAUCCUCCGACAGACGAGACCCAGGACCAGGUCCUGGACAACAUUGAAGAGCUGGGUCUCGAUGAUGUGAUGGACAUUGAACUGGACUUUCCGACCGUUUCUGACUUCCAGAACGCUCCGACCUCCAACACCACACACAGCCUUUCACUGGAGAGCGAUGACUGUUCAGGGACUCCAGUAAAGAUGCAGAAGAUAGAGCCAACAGCAGUGAACCAGUGACCCCUACAGGGCGCCCCCUGCCACACAUCUCAAAGAAACUGUGCCUCAGAGAAUGGAACUGUGGGAAAAGGUGGGACGGGGGGGUCUUCCUCUCUCAUGUCACAUUUCUGUCGUCUUCAGUGGUUUGGGAUUCACAAAAAAAAAACACUUGAAGCACUGCUGUGUGGCCCAAACGCUGCUGAAAUGGCUGGAUUUGAACUGAACCUCAGACCGUGGACAGAGGACAUGGAGACCAAAGGACGUGUUGUCUUUCAUGUGGCCGUUCAUUUAUGAUUCUUUUUUUAGCCUGUUUGGUUUUGCUUCACAAAUGUUUUGUUUCUUAUUGUUUGCUUUAUGGUGAAAAUUCUGAAAUAAAAAAAAAGAAAUUUUACUGUUU